rnacentral:rRNA from 1 species
GAGUAACGCGUGGAAAACCUGCCGUAUACUGGGGGAUAACACUUAGAAAUAGGUGCUAAUACCGCAUAAGCGCACAGCUUCGCAUGAAGCAGUGUGAAAAACUCCGGUGGUAUACGAUGGUUCCGCGUCUGAUUAGCUAGUUGGUGAGGUAAAAGCCCACCAAGGCGACGAUCAGUAGCCGGCCUGAGAGGGUGAACGGCCACAUUGGGACUGAGACACGGCCCAG